GUAGUACGGUCAUGCGCAGAUUCAUGGGCGAUUAUAGGACCCAUUUUAGCAACCAGCCUCCGGCAAAGAUCAGAUCUUUGUUUCCGCCUCCGCUCUCGUAUCUUCACUUUGGUCUUUGACUUUGACCAUGCCGUCCAUAUCUACCAGUGUUGCCUAGUGUUGCCUACUGCUCUGCGGUGAAUUGUUCCAAUCGCCAAUGUAGGCGACCCGACUUGUCUUUCUUCAGUGUUUAAGAAGGAACUGCAGAUGCUGGAAAAUCGAAGGUACACAAAAAAGCUGGAGAAACUCAGCGGGUGCAGCAGCAUCUAUGGAGCGAAGGAAAUAGGCAACGUUUCGGGCUGAAACCCUUCUUCAGACUCUCUUCAGGUUCCUCGUUAAGGAGGAAAGGUAUAAGAGAGCUUCAGCACCUAAUCUUUCCUCCGGUCUUUCCAUCACCUCUGGAAAAUGUUAUUGCUGUUUAUCAACAUGAGGACCAAAGUUGUGCCAAUGAAAGUCAAAGAAGCCAUUAUGAGAAACAUUAUGAGACUGAGAAACAAGAAAUACAACUGUUAGAGACAUCAGCCAAACCGUCCGCAGAAGACUUCAUGAACAGAAAUACAGAGGCUACACCGCAAGUUGCAAACCACUGGUUAGCCGCAAAAAUAGGAUGGCCAGGUUACAGUUUGCCAAGAAAUACUUAAUAGAGCAACCACAGUUCUGGAAAAAGGUCUUGUGGACAGAUGAGACAAAGAUUAACUUAUAUCAGACUGAUGGCAAGAGCAAAGUAUGAGGAGGAACUGCCCAAGAUCCAAAGCAUACCACCUCAUCUGUGAACCACGGUGGUGGGGAGUGUUAUGGCCUGGGCAUGUAUGGCUGCUGAAGGUACUGGCUCACUUAUCUUCACUGGUGAUUACAACUAAUGGUAGUAGUGUAGCGGCCCCUAGUGGUGGCCUUGUUACUAUCGAACCCUCGCGAUUGGCUGGCACGGUCACAUGAGCGAGGGAGCUUCUUUGCGGAUUUUUUUUGUAACCGUUCAUUCUAGCGCCACGGGAAUAGAAUACACAUCGUUAAAAUUUGGCUGUCUAACUCGACUCGGGUGACUACUUUGUUUGCGUUUCAAAAUAAAGAAUUUUUGCACACC